GAAAGGCGAAACGUAAUGUGAAUCGCAACUAACAGUGAAUCAUCGAAUCUUUGAACGCAGGCCGCACCUUGCAGCAUCAUUCGUGUUGCUACAAGGUAUAUACGUAUGAGUGUCAGUCCAAUAUCAUUUUGGCUCAAGAGGAUUAUAUUAAUGCCCCCAUUUUUAUAAUACUCUUGGAUACAUGUUUAUAAUUUUUAAAUAUGUCUGGCCUCAUAUGUGUAAGGUUACCCGCUGGAUUUAAGC
rnacentral:misc_RNA from 1 species